GGGCGUGUAGCUCAGAUGGUCAGAGCGUCCGCCUGAUAAGCGGGAGGUCCGCAGUUCGACUCUGCGCACGCCCA
rnacentral:tRNA from 1 species